rfam:Lupinus angustifolius cultivar Tanjil contig_1779, whole genome shotgun sequence.
AUGUGCGAUCAUACCAACAGUAAUGCACCGGAUCCUAUCAGAACUCCGCAGUUAAGCAUGCGGGGUGAGAGUAGCACUAGGAUGGGUCACCUCCUGGGAAGUCCUCAUGCUACACCUC